rnacentral:rRNA from 1 species
UGGGGAUAACCUUGCGAAAGUAAGACUAAUACCCAAUGAUAUCUCUAGAAGACAUCUGAGGAGAUUAAAGAUUUAUCGGUGAUGGAUGGGGAUGCGUCUGAUUAGCUUGUUGGCGGGGUAACGGCCCACCAAGGCGACGAUCAGUAGGGGUUCUGAGAGGAAGGUCCCCCACAUUGGAACUGAGACACGGUCCAAACUCCUACGGGAGGCAGCAGUGAGGAAUAUUGGUCAAUGGGCGAGAGCCUGAACCAGCCAAAUAGCGUGCAGGAUGACGGCCCUAUGGGUUGUAAACUGCUUUUAUAAGGGAAUAAAGUGAGCCUCGUGAGGCUUUUUGCAUGUACCUUAUGAAUAAGGACCGGCUAAUUCCGUGCCAGCAGCCGCGGUAAUACGGAAGGUCCGGGCGUUAUCCGGAUUUAUUGGGUUUAAAGGGAGCGUAGGCCGGAGAUUAAGCGUGUUGUGAAAUGUAGAUGCUCAACAUCUGCACUGCAGCGCGAACUGGUUUCCUUGAGUACGCACAAAGUGGGCGGAAUUCGUGGUGUAGCGGUGAAAUGCUUAGAUAUCACGAAGAACUCCGAUUGCGAAGGCAGCUCACUGGAGUCGCAACUGACGCUGAAGUCUCGAAAGUGCGGGUAUCGAACAGGAUUAGAUACCCUGGUAGUCCGCACGGUAAACGAUGGAUGCCCGCUGUUGGUCUGAAUAGGUCAGCGGCCAAGCGAAAGCAUUAAGCAUCCCACCUGGGGA